AAUUAUAUCAUGAUCCUUGUCAACUUAAAACUUCAACUUGAAAAUUCUAAUAUCAAAUCCCAAAAUUCACUAAUUUCAACUUCAAAAUUAUAUUUAAUAAAUUUUUGUAAAACUUAAAACUUGGACAUAAUUUUUAAAUUUUGUAAAAAUAAAAUAAAUUAAGCCAUAUUCAUUACAAAAAAUAAUUAGUCAAGCCAUUAUUCCAGAAAAUUCCAUCAUCAGUUGAAUCAUGGAGUCGUCUUCAUCGUAUGAGUUGAAUGCCUCUGUAUCAUCGUUGGAAUUUCUCACUUUAUUCCUUUUUCGUCCCCUUCUGGCUAUCGUCUUCGUCUUCUCCUUACUUAUCUUAGGUUGGUUUUUAGCUUGGAAAUUAGUGCUGGUUCAUGUUCCUUUGGUACAAGAAAUCUUUGGUUUGCGGAAGAAACCCGUUAUGCCGAAACCUGAAAAUCGACGGCGGUAUACUCAAAUCUACAACAAUAUGGACUCACAAUCUGAUGCUUCCCAGUGACUGUAUAGGUAAGCCCUACGCGUGAUGGUAUCCACUGUCCAGGAUUAGAAGCUGAAUUUUCUUGUGCUUUGGGGAGCAUCAGGUGUCAAUCUCUGUAAUCAACACACUUAUCUUCAGCUGAUCCUCAUUUUCCCACAUGUAUAGCGCUGUUACAUUAGUGUGUAUAACAUAUGGGUUAGUGAUUGCAAGGCCAAAAAAUAUUUGCAAUGAAUUAGCUAAUAAUGUAAGCAUUUGGAGAGAAAAGUGUCCAUUAUUUCUUUGUUUCUUUUUACUUUUUGUUAAGUUGACAUGUUACAAUUGUAAUUAUAUUGUGGCUUCAGUGUAAGUGGGGUUGAUGAUUUUUCAAAAGCCA